AGGUAGCGAAAUUCCUUGUCGGGUAAGUUCCGACCUGCACGAAUGGCGUAACGAUCUCCACACUGUCUCGGCCAGAGACUCGGUGAAAUUGAAGUCGCGGUGAAAAUGCCGUGUACCCGCAGAAAGACGGAAAGACCCUGUGCACCUUUACUAUAGCUUGACAUUGGGAUUUGAGCCUGCAUGUGUAGCAUAGGUGGGAGGCUGUGAACUCUGUACGCCAGUAUGGAGGGAGCCAUCGUUGAAAUACCACCCUUGUUUGUUCAGGUCCCUAACUCCUUGCCGUGAUCCGGUAGGAGGACAGUGUCUGGUGGGUAGUUUGACUGGGGCGGUCGCCUCCCAAAAUGUAACGGAGGCAUGCAAAGGUUCCCUCAGGCUGAUUGGAAACCAGCCGUCGAGUGCAAACGCAAAAGGGAGCUUGACUGCAAGAGAGACAUCUCGAGCAGGUACGAAAGUAGGUGUUAGUGAUCCGGUGAUCCCGAAUGGAAGGGUCAUCGCUCAUUGGAUAAAAGGUACGCCGGGGAUAACAGGCUGAUCGCAUCCAAGAGUUCACAUCGACGAUGCGGUUUGGCACCUCGAUGUCGGCUCAUCACAUCCUGGGGCUGAAGCAGGUCCCAAGGGUACGGCUGUUCGCCGUUUAAAGUGGUACGCGAGCUGGGUUUAAAACGUCGUGAGACAGUUUGGUCCCUAUCUUCUGUGGGCGUAGGAGAAUUGAAAGGGCCUGUCCCUAGUACGAGAGGACCGGGAUGGACACACCACUGGUGGACCUGUUGUCGUGCCAACGGCACAGCAGGGUAGCUAUGUGUGGAAGGGAUAACCGCUGAAAGCAUCUAAGCGGGAAGCCUGCCUUAAGAUAAGUUCUCCCUGACGCAAGUCCUGAAGGGCCGAGGUAGACGACCUCGUUGAUAGGCUGGAGGUGGAAGCCCUGUGAGGGGUGGAGCUGACCAGUACUAAUAGCCCGUGCGUCUUGUUUCU
rnacentral:rRNA from 1 species